rnacentral:rRNA from 1 species
GACGAACGCUGGCGGUGUGCUUAACACAUGCAAGUCGAACGGAAAGGCCCUUCGGGGUACCCGUGUGGCGAACGGGUGAGUAACACGUGGGUGAUUUGCCCUGCACCUUGUGAUAAGCCUGGGAUACUGGGUCUAAUACCGAAUAGGUCCACGCGCCUCCUGGUGUGUGGUGGCAAGCUUUUGCGGUGUGGGAUGGGCUCGCGUCCUAUCAGCUUGUUGGUGGUGUAAUGGCCUACGAAGGCGACGACGGGUAGCCGGCCUUAGAGGGUGGCCGGCCACACUGGGACUGAGGUACGGCGCAGACUCCUACGGGAGGCAGCAGUGGGGAAUAUUGCACAAUGGGCGCAAGCCUGAUGCGGCGACGCCGCGUGAGGGAUGACGGCCUUCGGGUUGUAAACCUCUUUCGAUAGGGACGAAGCGCAAGUGACGGUACCUAAAGAAGAAGCACCGGCCAACUACGUG